rnacentral:lncRNA from 10 species
GCCGGCUUCGAGAUAAGUCCCGGCGCUUGCGCGGCGGCGGCUAUGGCGGCGGAGGAGGAGGAGGUGGACUCUGCCGACACCGGAGAGAGGUCAGGAUGGCUAACUGGUUGGCUCCCCACAUGGUGCCCUACGUCUAUAUCACACCUUAAAGAAGCUGAAGAGAAGAUGUUAAAAUAAAGUACAGAAAUGAAUGUCGGGGGCUGGCAGGAGUAUAAUACCCUCAUUUGACAGAUGUGGAAAGAAGUUAGAAGGUAAUAUGACUUGCCAAAGACCUUGAUCACAGGUUACUUGAGGUUUGUCUGAGGUGUGCCUUGCACAUACAAAAAAGAACCUGUUCGUAUAUCUAAUGGAAAUAAAAUAUGGACACUGAAGUUCUCUCAUAAUAUUUCAAAUAAGACUCCACUUGUCCUUCUCCAUGGUUUUGGAGGAGGUCUUGGGCUCUGGGCACUGAAUUUUGGAGAUCUUUGCACCAACAGACCUGUCUAUGCUUUUGACCUAUUGGGUUUUGGACGAAGUAGUAGACCCAGGUUUGACAGUGAUGCAGAAGAAGUGGAGAAUCAGUUUGUGGAAUCCAUUGAAGAGUGGAGAUGUGCCCUAGGAUUGGACAAAAUGAUCUUGCUUGGGCACAACCUAGGUGGAUUCUUGGCUGCUGCUUACUCGCUGAAGUACCCAUCAAGGGUUAAUCAUCUCAUUUUAGUGGAGCCUUGGGGUUUCCCUGAACGACCAGACCUUGCUGAUCAAGACAGACCAAUUCCAGUUUGGAUCAGAGCCUUGGGAGCAGCAUUGACUCCCUUUAACCCUUUAGCUGGCCUAAGGAUUGCAGGACCCUUUGG